rnacentral:rRNA from 1 species
CUGCUGCCUUCCGUAGGAGUUUGGGCCGUGUCUCAGUCCCAAUGUGGCCGGUCACCCUCUCAGGUCGGCUACUGAUCGUCGGCUUGGUAGGCCGUUACCCCACCAACUACCUAAUCAGACGCGGGUCCAUCUCAUACCGUCAAGGCUUUGGCCCCUGUGCCAUGCGGCACUGUGGUCUUAUGCGGUAUUAGCAGUCAUUUCUAACUGUUAUCCCCCUGUAUGAGGCAGGUUACCCACGCGUUACUCACCCGUCCG